rnacentral:rRNA from 1 species
UUGACCUCGAAUCAGGUAGGAAUACCCGCUGAACUUAAGCAUAUCAAUAAGCGGAGGAAAAGAAACCAACAGGGAUUGCCUCAGUAACGGCGAGUGAAGCGGCAACAGCUCAAAUUUGAAAUCUGGCUCUCGGGCCCGAGUUGUAAUUUGUAGAGGAUGCUUUUGGUGAGGUGCCUUCCGAGUUCCCUGGAACGGGACGCCAUAGAGGGUGAGAGCCCCGUCUGGUUGGACGCCGAACCUCUGUAAAGCUCCUUCGACGAGUCGAGUAGUUUGGGAAUGCUGCUCUAAAUGGGAGGUAUAUGUCUUCUAAAGCUAAAUACCGGCCAGAGACCGAUAGCGCACAAGUAGAGUGAUCGAAAGAUGAAAAGAACUUUGAAAAGAGAGUUAAACAGUACGUGAAAUUGUUGAAAGGGAAGCGCUUGUGACCAGACUUGGGCUUGGUUGAUCAUCCGGGGUUCUCCCCGGUGCACUCUUCCGGCCCAGGCCAGCAUCAGUUCGCCCUGGGGGACAAAGGCUUCGGGAACGUGGCUCUCUCCGGGGAGUGUUAUAGCCCGUUGCGUAAUACCCUGUGGCGGACUGAGGUUCGCGCAUUCGCAAGGAUGCUGGCGUAAUGGUCAUCAGUGACCCGUCUUGA